rnacentral:rRNA from 1 species
AAAUUGAAGAGUUUGAUCAUGGCUCAGAUUGAACGCUGGCGGCAGGCCUAACACAUGCAAGUCGAGCGGUAGCACAGAGAGCUUGCUCUCGGGUGACGAGCGGCGGACGGGUGAGUAAUGUCUGGGAAACUGCCUGAUGGAGGGGGAUAACUACUGGAAACGGUAGCUAAUACCGCAUAAUGUCGCAAGACCAAAGUGGGGGACCUUCGGGCCUCAUGCCAUCAGAUGUGCCCAGAUGGGAUUAGCUAGUAGGUGGGGUAACGGCUCACCUAGGCGACGAUCCCUAGCUGGUCUGAGAGGAUGACCAGCCACACUGGAACUGAGACACGGUCCAGACUCCUACGGGAGGCAGCAGUGGGGAAUAUUGCACAAUGGGCGCAAGCCUGAUGCAGCCAUGCCGCGUGUGUGAAGAAGGCCUUCGGGUUGUAAAGCACUUUCAGCGGGGAGGAAGGCGUUAAGGUUAAUAACCUUGGCGAUUGACGUUACCCGCAGAAGAAGCACCGGCUAACUCCGUGCCAGCAGCCGCGGUAAUACGGAGGGUGCAAGCGUUAAUCGGAAUUACUGGGCGUAAAGCGCACGCAGGCGGUCUGUCAAGUCGGAUGUGAAAUCCCCGGGCUCAACCUGGGAACUGCAUUCGAAACUGGCAGGCUAGAGUCUUGUAGAGGGGGGUAGAAUUCCAGGUGUAGCGGUGAAAUGCGUAGAGAUCUGGAGGAAUACCGGUGGCGAAGGCGGCCCCCUGGACAAAGACUGACGCUCAGGUGCGAAAGCGUGGGGAGCAAACAGGAUUAGAUACCCUCGGUAGUCCACGCCGUAAACGAUGUCGAUUUGGAGGUUGUGCCCUUGAGGCGUGGCUUCCGGAGCUAACGCGUUAAAUCGACCGCCUGGGGAGUACGGCCGCAAGGUUAAAACUCAAAUGAAUUGACGGGGGCCCGCACAAGCGGUGGAGCAUGUGGUUUAAUUCGAUGCAACGCGAAGAACCUUACCCUGGUCUUGACAUCCACAGAACUUUCCAGAGAUGGAUUGGUGCCUUCGGGAACUGUGAGACAGGUGCUGCAUGGCUGUCGUCAGCUCGUGUUGUGAAAUGUUGGGUUAAGUCCCGCAACGAGCGCAACCCUUAUCCUUUGUUGCCAGCGGUUAGGCCGGGAACUCAAAGGAGACUGCCAGUGAUAAACUGGAGGAAGGUGGGGAUGACGUCAAGUCAUCAUGGCCCUUACGACCAGGGCUACACACGUGCUACAAUGGCAUAUACAAAGAGAAGCGACCUCGCGAGAGCAAGCGGACCUCAUAAAGUAUGUCGUAGUCCGGAUUGGAGUCUGCAACUCGACUCCAUGAAGUCGGAAUCGCUAGUAAUCGUAGAUCAGAAUGCUACGGUGAAUACGUUCCCGGGCCUUGUACACACCGCCCGUCACACCAUGGGAGUGGGUUGCAAAAGAAGUAGGUAGCUUAACCUUCGGGAGGGCGCUUACCACUUUGUGAUUCAUGACUGGGGUGAAGUCGUAACAAGGUAACCGUAGGGGAACCUGCGGUUGGAUCACCUCCUUACCUUAAAGAA